rnacentral:rRNA from 1 species
UUACCACUUUGUGAUUCAUGACUGGGGUGAAGUCGUAACAAGGUAACCGUAGGGGAACCUGCGGUUGGAUCACCUCCUUACCUUAACGAA